rnacentral:rRNA from 1 species
CAAUAGCGUAUAUUAAAGUUGUUGCAGUUAAAAAGCUCGUAGUUGGAUUUCUGGUGGGAGCGAUCGGUCUGGCGCUUAGCGCGAGUACUUGCAUCGUCUCCGGCCAUCCUUGGGGAGAGUCUGUCUGGCAUUAGGUUGUCGGGCAGAGGAUCCUCAUCGUUUACUGUGAAAAAAUUAGAGUGUUCAAAGCAGGCUUAUGCCGUUGAAUAUAUUAGCAUGGAAUAAUAAGAUAGGACUUUGGUACUAUUUUGUUGGUUUGCGCACCGAAGUAAUGAUUAAUAGGGACAGUUGGGGGUAUUCGUAUUCCGUUGUCAGAGGUGAAAUUCUUGGAUUUACGGAAGACGAACUACUGCGAAAGCAUUUACCAAGGAUGUUUUCAUUAA